UUUUUACUUUAUCUAUUUAUCUAUUUGUUAUUUUUAGUGACCUCGAUUGAACAACGGAGACCCACACCUGUGUCGCCGCCAACUAUACGAGGUAAAUGGUAAUACUAUAAAAGCAUUUGUCUAACGCGGCAGUGUCAUUGUAUCAGACAAACAGACCGCCGCUUAGACGUCGAAACACGCCAUAUAUACAAUUUCCUUUAGCUUCAGAUUAAGUUGUUCUUCUGUUGGCCCCAUCGGCUCAAAGGAGUGACCUCGAUUGAACAACGGAGACCCACACCUGUGUCGCCGCCAACUAUACGAGCAUGAAGAAACCAUCUCUACGGGCGUUCGUGUCUCUGGCAGCGGUGACCAGAUUUCUGCUGCCGAUCCUCCUGUCAGCUCACGUCGCCCACGCCGCCUACGCCGCCCACGCCG
rnacentral:lncRNA from 1 species